rnacentral:misc_RNA from 1 species
AAAGUCGUAACAAGGUUUCCGUAGGUGAACCUGCGGAAGGAUCAUUAUCGUGGGGCUCCGGCCCUAUCGAGAUAGAACCCUUGCCUUUUUUGUACCGUCCGUUUCCUCGGCAGGCUCGCCUGCCAAUGGGGACCCCAAUAAACUCUUUUUUUACCUGUAUCAGUCUGAAAAAUAAACAAAAGUUAAAACUUUCAACAACGGAUCUCUUGGUUCUG